UACGUAGGGGGCGAGCGUUAUCCGGAUUUACUGGGCGUAAAGCGCGUGUAGGCGGCCAAUCAAGUUGGGUGUGAAAGCCCUCGGCUUAACCGAGGAAGUGCGCCCAAAACUAGUUGGCUUGAGUACCGGAGAGGGUGGUGGAAUUCCCGGUGUAGAGGUGAAAUUCGUAGAUAUCGGGAGGAACACCAGUGGCGAAGGCGACCACCUGGACGGAUACUGACGCUGAGACGCGAAAGCGUGGGUAGCAAACAG
rnacentral:rRNA from 1 species